CAGAGUCUCUAUAAUCUCCCUGCUGCUAAGACUUCUCAUGCAACAUCGAUGCAAUGUAUUCUAACCAGCCUUUUGGUCGUGUUUGUCCCAGUUUUGUCUGUCAGGCCCAGUAAAGCAUCCUUGA